GACGAACGCUGGCGGCGUGCUUAACACAUGCAAGUCGAGCGGUAAGGCCCUUUCGGGGGUACACGAGCGGCGAACGGGUGAGUAACACGUGGGUGACCUGCCCUCAGCUCUGGGAUAAGCCUGGGAAACCGGGUCUAAUACUGGAUAUGACUCCAUGACGCAUGUUGUGGGGUGGAAAGCCUUGUGCGGCUGAGGAUGGGCCCGCGGCCUAUCAGCUUGUUGGUGGGGUGANGGCCUACCAAGGCGACGACGGGUAGCCGGCCUGAGAGGGCGACCGGCCACACUGGGACUGAGGACACGGCCCAGACUCCUACGGGAGGCAGCAGUGGGGAAUCUUGCGCAAUGGGCGAAAGCCUGACGCAGCGACGCCGCGUGAGGGAUGACGGCCU
rnacentral:rRNA from 1 species